rnacentral:rRNA from 1 species
CCUACGGGAGGCAGCAGUAGGGAAUAUUGCUCAAUGGGGGAAACCCUGAAGCAGCAACGCCGCGUGGAGGAUGAAGGUUUUCGGAUUGUAAACCCCUUUUGUUAGAGAAGAUAAUGACGGUAUCUAACGAAUAAGCACCGGCUAACUCCGUGCCAGCAGCCGCGGUAAUACGGAGGGUGCAAGCGUUACUCGGAAUCACUGGGCGUACAGAGCGCGUAGGCGGGAUAGCAAGUCAGAUGUGAAAUCCUAUGGCUUAACCAUAGAACUGCAUUUGAAACUGUUAUGCUAGAGUAUGGGAGAGGUAGGUGGAAUUCUUGGUGUAGGGGUAAAAUGCGUAGAGAUCAAGAGGAAUACUCAUGGCGAAGGCGACCUGCUAGAACAUAACUGACGCUGAUGCGCGAAAGCGUGGGGAGCAAACAGGAUUAGAUACCCGGGUAGUC